rnacentral:rRNA from 1 species
CAGCCGCCGCGGUAAUACGGAGGGGGCUAGCGUUGUUCGGAAUUACUGGGCGUAAAGCGUGCGCAGGCGGUUAUAUAAGACAGAUGUGAAAUUCCUGGGCUCAACCUGGGGACUGCAUUUGAUACGUGUAAGCUUGAGUGGAGAAGAGGGUCGUGGAAUUUCCAGUGUAGAGGUGAAAUUCGUAGAUAUUGGAAAGAACACCGGUGGCGAAGGCGGCGACCUGGUCUUUUACUGACGCUGAGGCGCGAAAGCGUGGGGAGCAAACAGGAUUAGAUACCCCCGUAGUCCCUGUCUCUUAUAC